rnacentral:misc_RNA from 1 species
GUGGGUGGGCGACUGGCCCCUAGAUGGAAUGACCGUGUCGGCACGUGAGCGGUGAUGGAUUCGCAUGCCACGGCGGGCUCCCUGCCACUGUGCAGCCAACCGCCGUCGCUGCAGCCCCCUUCACUCGUGCUCCAACCACUCGGAGCCUCAUGCGUUGCCUGUACAACAUACCCGGUUCUCGGGCAAAUGACUUCGUCCAACAUGCUCGUCCGCUCCCCUCGCCUUUGCGCGGGCGCGGAGCGGCAAUGUCGGCGAUCCUCGUGCUCCCUCGGACGACGGCACGGCUUUGGCCCCUCGUCUCGUCCCGAUCGGCCCUCGAGGAUUCGUCAGCGCUCGCGGACACGGNAGACAAUGUUGGCUCGGGGCUUUC